CAGGAUGAACGCUAGCGACAGGCCUAACACAGCAAGUCGAGGGGACGACCGGCGCACGGGUGAGUAACGCGUAUGCAACCUGCCUACUACCCGGAGAAAUUCGGACUAAUACCGCAUAAUACAGGGCUCCCGCAUAGAUGGGCAUGCGUGCCAUUAGCUAGUUGGUGAGGUAACGGCUCACCAAGGCAACGAUGGCUAGGGGAACUGAAGGUUUAUCCCCCACACUGGAACUGAGACACGGACCAGACUCCUACGGGAGGCAGCAGUGAGGAAUAUUGGUCAAUGGGCGAGAGCCUGAACCAGCCAAGUCGCGUGAAGGAUGACUGCCCUAUGGGUUGUAAACUUCUUUUAUACAGCUGUAUGAAUAAGCAUCGGCUAACUCCGUGCCAGCAGCCGCGGUAAUACGGAGGAUGCGAGCGUUAUCCGGAUUUAUUGGGUUUAAAGGGUGCGCAGGUUUUAAGUCAGCGGUGAAAUCUAGUGG
rnacentral:rRNA from 1 species